AAGGCUUUAAGUUAAUUAAAACUUAUACCCUUCAAAGCUAUACAUAAAGAUAUAAUUCUUUAAGUCUUA
rnacentral:tRNA from 1 species